UAGUCUCCCAAACUGCUGGUGUUACAGGCAUGAGCCACCGUGCUCAGCCCAUUUUGAUUGGUUAAAACAUUAAAAGUGCAAUUCGAACUCCCUGCGCUCUCCCCUCCCGUUCCCUUUCUGCCAUCUUUCCGCGCCGCCACAAUGGUGCGCAUGAAUGUCCUGGCUGAUGCUCUCAAGAGCAUCAACAAUGCAGAAAGGAGAGACAAACGCCAGGUGCUUAUUAGGCCGUGCUCCAAAGUCAUCGUCCGGUUUCUCAGUGUGAUGAUGAAGUAUGGUUACAUUGGCGAAUUUGAAAUCAUUGAUGAUCACAGAGCUGGGAAAAUUGUUGUGAACCUCACAGGCCGGCUAAACAAGUGUGGAGUGAUCAGCCCCAGAUUUGAGUGCAACUCAAAGAUCUAUAAAAUUGGCAGAAUAAUCUGCUUCCAUCCCGCCAGUUUGGUUUCAUUGUACUGACAACCUCAGCUGGCAUCAUGCACCAUGAAGAAGCAAGACGAAAACACACAGGAGAAAAUCCUGGGAUUCUUUUUCUAGGGAUGUAAUACAUAUAUUUACAAAUAAAAUGCCUCAUGGAAAAAAAAAGUGCAACUCAACUGAAUACUGUGAUUGCAAAAUAAGCUGCUGGAACAAUUUCAUCUGCCUCCAUCCCCACCUCAAUUGUCCAUUUAAAAUCCUUUAUAUUUAGGCCGGGCACAGCGGCUCACACCUGUAAUCUCAGCACUUUGGGAGGCCAAGGUGGACAUAUCACUUGAGG